CCCUUAGAUGUUCUGGGCCGCACGCGCGCUACACUGACGAAGUCAGCGAGCAUCUCCUACGCCGAAAGGUGCGGGGAAUCUUGUGAAACUUUGUCGUGCUGGGGAUUGAUUUUUGAAAUUCUUGAUCAUAAACGAGGAAUUCCUAGUAAGCGCAAGUCAGCAGCUUGCGUUGAUUACGUCCCUGCCCUUUGUACACACCGCCCGUCGCUACUACCGAUUGAAUGGUUUAGUGAGAUGUUUGGACCGGAACUCUCUUGCUCAGCAAUGGGCGAGAGAGAGUCUGGGAAGUCCCUCUAACUGUAUCAUUUAGAGGAAGCAAAAGUCGUAACA
rnacentral:rRNA from 1 species